rnacentral:rRNA from 1 species
UACGGAGGGGGCUAGCGUUGUUCGGAAUUACUGGGCGUAAAGCGCACGUAGGCGGCUUUGUAAGUUAGAGGUGAAAGCCCGGGGCUCAACUCCGGAAUUGCCUUUAAGACUGCAUCGCUCGAGUUUGUGGAGAGGUAAGUGGAAUUCCGAGUGUAGAGGUGAAAUUCGUAGAUAUUCGGAAGAACACCAGUGGCGAAGGCGACUUACUGGACACAUACUGACGCUGAGGUGCGAAAGCGUGGGGAGCAAACAGG